rnacentral:rRNA from 1 species
GACGAACGCUGGCGGCGUGCCUAAUACAUGCAAGUAGAACGCACAGUUUAUACCGUAGCUUGCUACACCAUAGACUGUGAGUUGCGAACGGGUGAGUAACGCGUAGGUAACCUGCCUGGUAGCGGGGGAUAACUAUUGGAAACGAUAGCUAAUACCGCAUAAUAUUAAUUAUUGCAUGAUAAUUAAUUGAAAGGUGCAAUUGCACCACUACCAGAUGGACCUGCGUUGUAUUAGCUAGUAGGUGAGGUAACGGCUCACCUAGGCGACGAUACAUAGCCGACCUGGGAGGGUGACCGGCCACACUGGGACUGAGACACGGCCCAGACUCCUACGGGAGGCAGCAGUAGGGAAUCUUCGGCAAUGGACGAAAGUCUGACCGAGAAACGCCGCGUGAGUGAAGAAGGUUUUCGGAUCGUAAAGCUCGGUUGUAAGAGAAGAACGGGUGUGAGAGUGGAAAGUUCACACUGUGACGGUAUCUUACCAGAAAGGGACGGCUAACUACGUG